UGGGGAAUUUUGCGCAAUGGGGGAAACCCUGACGCAGCAACGCCGCGUGGAGGAUGAAGUCCCUUGGGACGUAAACUCCUUUCGACCAAGACGAUAAUGAUGGUACUGGUGGAAGAAACACCGGCUAACUCUGUG
rnacentral:rRNA from 1 species